rnacentral:rRNA from 1 species
CCUGGUGGCGAGUGGCGAACGGGUGAGUAAUACAUCGGAACGUCCCAGAAGUGGGGGAUAACGUAGCGAAAGUUACGCUAAUCCCGCAUACGUUCUACGGAAGAAAGUGGGGGACCCUCGGGCCUCAUGCUUUUGGAGCGGCCGAUGUCUGAUUAGCUAGUUGGUGAGGUAAAGGCUCACCAAGGCGACGAUCAGUAGCUGGUCUGAGAGGGCGUCCUGCCACACUGGGACUGAGCCCCGGCCCAGACUCCUACGGGAGGCAGCAGUGGGGAAUUUUGGACAAUGGGCGCAAGCCUGAUCCAGCAAUGCCGCGUGAGUGAAGAAGGCCUUCGGGUUGUAAAGCUCUUUUGUCAGGGAAGAAACGGCUCCGGCUAAUAUCUGGGGCUAAGACGGUACCUGAAGAAUGU